rnacentral:rRNA from 1 species
CUCGUAGGCGGCCAACUAAGUCCGACGUGAAAUCCCAAAGCUUAACUUUGGAACUGCGUCGGAUACUGGAUGGCUUGAAUUCGGGAGAGGGAUGCAGAAUUCCAGGUGUAGCGGUGAAAUGCGUAGAUAUCUGGAGGAAUACCGGUGGCGAAGGCGGCAUCCUGGACCGACAUUGACGCUGAGGAGCGAAAGCUAGGGGAGCAAACG